GGUCGGGGGCAGAGGGGGCGGUUGGAGAGGGAAAAAGGCUGAGCGGCCCUUCCUGGUUCUUUUGGGAUAAUUCCAGAGAUUCCCAAGGCUGAAGGGACCCCAGAGGUCAUCUAGUCCGACCCCUGCCCAAGUAGGAGCCCCUCUCCCCUCCCGGAGGCUUCCCUGAGACCUUCUCCCAUCCCAGCUUCUGUGGGCUCAGUUCCCAUGGCAGCCUGGGAGGGACCUUCCCUACAUCUCUCGCCCCCCCAUUUUCCCCCUCCUUUUAUUCCACAGACUUUGCUUGGGACUCUCAGGUUCUCUUUCUUGAGCUCUCAACCCCUCCUAUUCACAGGGGCUCAGUUGCUGUGGAGAGGGGCAAGAGGGAGUCACCUAGCAUCUCCCCACAGCUGCAUCUAAGGCUGUGGCCAACACAAAAGUCCCUGGAAGGUUUCCAGGGCUGCCAUUCGACUGGGACAUAUUGCCCAGCGGGAUCCCCCUCCCCCCAAGGGUCUGCCUGAACUUAAAAGAAAACAACAAAAAUUUCAAAGCUGUCGUCAUAAAAAGAUGAGCUCCAAGUGGAGAAGCAGAAAAAUGCCCACCUAAUUGCAGAAAAGGAAGAGCUCUGGAAAGAUUUUGAAGAAAGAUUAAGCAGCUGGAAGAAAGAAAUGAUUUAUGUGGAAUCCAAUUGUCAAGGAAAUGG